AUUGAACCGCUGGCGGAAUGCUUUACACAUGCAAGUCGAACGGCAGCACGGAGAGCUUGCUCUCUGGUGGCGAGUGGCGAACGGGUGAGUAAUAUAUCGGAACGUGUCCAAUAAUGGGGGAUAACGAGUCGAAAGAUUCGCUAAUACCGCAUACGCCCUACGGGGGAAAGCAGGGGAUCGUAAGACCUUGCGUUAAUGGAGCGGCCGAUAUCUGAUUAGCUUGUUGGUGAGGUAAAGGCUCACCAAGGCGACGAUCAGUAGCUGGUUUGAGAGAACGACCAGCCACACUGGAACUGAGACACGGUCCAGACUCCUACGGGAGGCAGCAGUGGGGAAUUUUGGACAAUGGGGGCAACCCUGAUCCAGCCAUUCCGCGUGAGUGAAGAAGGCCUUCGGGUUGUAAAGCUCUUUCGCAAGGGAAGAAAACUUAUGAUCGAAUAAAUCAUGAGGUUGACGGUACCUUGAUAAGAAGCACCGGCUAACUACGUGCCAGCAGCCGCGGUAAUACGUAGGGUGCGAGCGUUAAUCGGAAUUACUGGGCGUAAAGCGUGCGCAGGCGGUUUUGUAAGUCGGAUGUGAAAUCCCCGGGCUCAACCUGGGAACUGCGUUCGAAACUGCAAGGCUAGAGUGUGUCAGAGGGGGGUAGAAUUCCACGUGUAGCAGUGAAAUGCGUAGAGAUGUGGAGGAAUACCAAUGGCGAAGGCAG
rnacentral:rRNA from 1 species